CGGCGAAAGCCGGAUUAAUACCGCAUACGCUCUGUGGAGGAAAGCGGGGGAUCUUCGGACCUCGCGCUCAAGGGGCGGCCGAUGGCAGAUUAGCUAGUUGGUGGGGUAAAGGCCUACCAAGGCGACGAUCUGUAGCUGGUCUGAGAGGACGACCAGCCACACUGGGACUGAGACACGGCCCAGACUCCUACGGGAGGCAGCAGUGGGGAAUUUUGGACAAUGGGGGCAACCCUGAUCCAGCAAUGCCGCGUGUGUGAAGAAGGCCUUCGGGUUGUAAAGCACUUUUGUCCGGAAAGAAAACCGCUUCUCUAAUACAGGGGCGGGAUGACGGUACCGGAAGAAUAAGCACC
rnacentral:rRNA from 1 species